rnacentral:rRNA from 1 species
UGAGGAAUAUUGGUCAAUGGGCGCGAGCCUGAACCAGCCAAGUCGCGUGAGGGAGGACGGCCCUACGGGUUGUAAACCUCUUUUGCCGGGGAGCAACGGGCGUCACGUGUGGCGCCACUGAGAGUACCCGGAGAAAAAGCAUCGGCUAACUCCGUGCCAGCAGCCGCGGUAAUACGGAGGAUGCGAGCGUUAUCCGGAUUUAUUGGGUUUAAAGGGUGCGUAGGCGGAUCGUUAAGUCAGUGGUCAAAUUGAGGGGCUCAACCCCUUCCCGCCAUUGAAACUGGCGAUCUUGAGUGGAAGAGA